UCAUACUAACAAAUGAAAAUAAAAUAAAAUAUAGUCAUUUAAAUCUGAUUUAAAGACUAAAAGAAAAUAAUUUAAAAUUUAUUUUCUUUUCUUUUUUUUUAUUUUAAUUCCAGGGACAUAAUCGUAAUUUGAGACAUCAUCUUCUUCCCCAGAAGAAGAUGCCCUAGCCGCCGCCAAGAAAGUUUCUUCUCCGCCAUUGACCAGUCCAGCUACCGGAACCGACAGACCGCGCAACGAUUGCGCCACCUCCGACAUCGAGGUAGCCCGAACCGCUUCUCGUCUACGACAGCUCGUGAGGGGAGACCAAACCGAGACUCAUCUCGGUCUCCACCUCCUGCUGUGCAACCGAGCGGCAACCGCCCUCCAUCAGCGCCCGGUGACAGCACAACACUUGCGCUCACGCCAGCAGUCUGAAUCGGCACCGAGAGUUCCAUUAUCGACGGGAUUGUGAAGGGAGUCGCGAUUUCACCGUUUUGUAUAACACUUUCAUUCGCGACCUCGACACUGUCGGUGUCCUACACCUCCCGCCGCCGCUCGUUGACCUGCAGAUCGCGCAACGGUUGCACGUCCACGGCCGACCGAAGCAGCGCUAGAGACUCCUUCGUCUUCUUCGUCGACGAGAAUCGAGAAGGAGAACAAUUUCUCCCCUCGGUCCCACCGGAGAUGAGAACAACCAGCGCCACGGUUCCAGCUUCCCCGCGAUAUCGAGGAUCCCCGGUCCCUCACGCAGUCAUUCUUUGCGGCAUCCGUGCAUCCACGGUGACUGUGGGCUACCACCCCACAUUGCCGGCCGGCCACUCAUCGGCGAUUAUUCGAAGGACAACUUUGGUCUUACCAAGCUUCCUUUUCCGAUGACGUCAAGGCUGCUGGGUACAGGAAUCGUGUUCCUCGUGAACAUGAUUUUCAGAAAUUGAUUUCUUU
rnacentral:lncRNA from 1 species